GAGCUGAGUUGGAAAGCAACCUAUUUAAAUCAUUAUAAAAAUAGAUAGCUUCUUGAAAUAUCAUUUCAGUUUCGAUUGGUUUACGAUUGGUGAAUGAUGCAAGAUGCGUUGGUUGGUCAACCUCUGUCAUGCAAAAUCGUUUACUUGUGGGGUAGAAUAUGAUUUCGCACACAUUUGGACAGUGUAACAGCGUUUCGCUCUACAACGCUAUGCCCCUUGGUCAUAACGGAACGCAAUUACGAUGCGUUUCCUCUGUCAACGCAUGACGGAGCCGACGGAGCGAAUGUCAGGAAAGAAAGCAAGUCUCAUUCUAUAGAACAAGGUAGUGAACUGAGUACACAAGAAUAGUAAAUUAUGCAGUGGCUAAAUAUUAGUAUAUAUUAAUUUUGAUUUUCCAAAAGAUUUGUAUGUACACCGGAAAUUUAGAUUGAUUUGGUGGAUAUAACCUAAAAGGGAGGAUAGUAUCAAUUUUUUAGCAAUAUUAUCACCCAGAACACAUGGUGUUUGAUUGCUCAAAAGAAUAUUUACUCCCGUUCCGACAAAAUCUAAAAGAUUGAUAGUGAGUAUAUCAUCCCGUCAGACACGGAGCGCACGUUGUGUUACACCGGAUGAAUCCAAAUGCCCAGCAUGUGACAACUCCUGCUGUCACUGUAAGGUUUGGUGGCACUACGAUUGCAUAGGUGUUGAUGAAGGUAUAAGCGCGGCGGAUCGGACCUUCAAUUGCCCAAGGUGUCAAAAACCAUCAUCCACGAUUCCGUUCGAUGAUCGAUCCCGGACAAAGUCGCCUAAGCGAAACACCAGUAAGGGCAGCAGUGUAGCAGCUUCUUCCACCUCCAGCGUACGAGCAAGGAGGGCCCACUUACAGCUUGAAAAACUCGUUAUUAAAAACCGUUAUGGCACCCAUGGCCGAGUGGUUAGCGUCUCAUAUUAUCAUGCCGGGUGUUCGGGUUCGAUUCCCGUUCUGGCCGGGGGAUUUUUCGUCACAGAAAUUUCCUUCGACUUGCACUAUGUUCACGCGUAUUCUAGAGCUUGCCCCUCGGAAUACAUUCAAGGCGUGUUAUUUGGCUUAAGAAAUCUCAACUUUGCAUUAAUAAAUGACGCUAGUUAAUGCAUACGUUGAGACGGCAUAAGUUCCACAUGGAACUUUAACGCCAUUCAAGAAGACUACCGUCAGAAACGAUGUUCAGCAUGAGCUGCACUCACAGGUCGCCAACAGAAGUCAACUGUAACUGUCAAAAGGUCUAGCAGCCGCAGAUAUUCCGUUAGGAUCGAAUGCCGAUAUUAGUUUUUGUGGAAUGACCAAUACUAUAAGUAAGCCAAGUAGUAACCUGGGAUUAGAAGCAGAAGGUAGCAAACAUUUUCCGCUUAAUAGUGACACGCAAACUCUUGUUCGGAAUGAUCCACAAGUAGCUCAGUCUUCACAUCAGCUUCCAUUUUCUUCCGUUUAUCAAGCUCAGUCAUUUAAGGUGAAGGUGGAAGCUAGCCAUUGUAGUAGUAUAGGUAAACCCAAUCGUAAAAAUGGGGUAAUAGUGUUUGUGAGAGAAGAGCAAAGCACACGUAAAUAGAUUAAUUCUCUUAUCAUACUGUGUGGCGCUUCAUUGACACGAGCCUUUGAGUACAUUUGAAAAAAAAAUAACAAUUCAGACUAAAGUGAAAUGU